UACGUAGGGGCUAGCGUUGUCCGGAAUCAUUGGGCGUAAAGCGCGUGUAGGCGGUCCGGUAAGUCCGCUGUGAAAGCCAGGGCUCAACCCUUGGAUGCCGGUGGAUACUGUCGGGCUUGAGUACGGAAGAGGCGAGUGGAAUUCCUGGUGUAGCGGUGAAAUGCGCAGAUAUCAGGAGGAACACCAAUUGCGAAGGCAGCUCGCUGGGACGUACUGACGGCUGAGACGCGAAAGCGUGGGGAGCAAACAGG
rnacentral:rRNA from 1 species